CACAGGACGCUAGUUGUGAACAAGGUGUGAAGAGCCUAUUGAGCUACCUGAGAGUCCUCCGGCCCCUGAAUGCGGCUAAUCCUAACCACGGAGCAGGCAGUGGCAAUCCAGCGACCAGCCUGUCGUAACGCGCAAGUUCGUGGCGGAACCGACUACUUUGGGUGUCCGUGUUUCCUUUUAUUUUUACAAUGGCUGCUUAUGGUGACAAUCAUUGAUUGUUAUCAUAAAGCAAAUUGGAUUGGCCAUCCGGUG
rfam:Human poliovirus 2 strain MEF-1 polyprotein gene, complete cds.